rnacentral:rRNA from 1 species
GAUGAAUGCUGGCGGCGUGCCUAAUACAUGCAAGUCGAGUGAACGGACGAGAAGCUUGCUUUUCUGAUGUUAGCGGCGGACGGGUGAGUAACACGUGGAUAACCUACCUAUAAGACUGGGAUAACUUCGGGAAACCGGAGCUAAUACCGGAUAAUAUUUUGAACCGCAUGGUUCAAAAGUGAAAGACGGUCUUGCUGUCACUUAUAGAUGGAUCCGCGCUGCAUUAGCUAGUUGGUAAGGUAACGGCUUACCAAGGCAACGAUGCAUAGCCGACCUGAGAGGGUGAUCGGCCACACUGGAACUGAGACACGGUCCAGACUCCUACGGGAGGCAGCAGUAGGGAAUCUUCCGCAAUGGGCGAAAGCCUGACGGAGCAACGCCGCGUGAGUGAUGAAGGUCUUCGGAUCGUAAAACUCUGUUAUUAGGGAAGAACAUAUGUGUAAGUAACUGUGCACAUCUUGACGGUACCUAAUCAGAAAGCCACGGCUAACUACGUG